GACAAUCUUGUAUUCGGGGUAGUUUCGGAUAAGCCUGUUUGCUACAUGAGAAGCGAUGAAUCCGGCAGCCCCGGUGAUGAGGAUAUUUUUCGGGGUGAAGUUCGACAUUGUUGCUUAGUAUCUACAAAUGAAAGGCAGCCAUGUUUUGAUAUUAAAUUAAUAGGAUAAAACAACUCUGUAUAGGUUCCAGAAACAGAACAUCAAAAAAAUCAAUUGCUAAAAGACAAUCAGGUAAGAUCUUUUUUUAUUUUAUUUUUUUAUUUCGAGGUAAUCAACUAAGAUCUUAAUCAUAGGUAAUUCAACACAAAUCAAGUUCUAUUCUUUGAGAGGGCCAUGUAGAUCACAAAUGAUUAAUGAAUUAUAUUCCCCUCUAGUUUUAUUUCAAACGUAGGUUAUCAUCAUUCACAGCAAAAUUGAGAAAAUCUCAAUGCAAUGCGGUGAGAUCAUCAUGAAACAAACUAUAAAAAUCAACAUAGCUUUAAAUGAGAAAUCUACGCUGCUAAUCAUUCAUCUCAAUUAAGAACUAAAGCUUAAUCCUAGAUCAACUCAUUAAUCUUCAUAGAUCCAAUUAGAUCACCGCAUAAACAUUUCCAUAACUAAUGAGGAAUUCAUUUAAGUUGAAACUUUAAAUUCACUGCUCAAACACAAAAUGUAGACUCGAAUCGAAUCAUUAAACAGAGUCAACAUCAGGUAAAAACGCACAGAAUCGAACAGAUCUAAGACAAACCCAGAUCCCAGAAGCAGAUUCCCCGCAGAAAAUCAAGAGUUAAACUAAUUUCGACUUCAAGAAAACUCACGUUUUUCCUCCGAUAAUAAUUCGGAUAAGUCGACGGGCGAGCUAGGAAAUAGGAGAAGAAUUUGGAAGUCCCUCUACAAGAAAAGGGGGAAAUGAUUGAAAUUGAAAUCAGAGAGAAAAGUAAAUGUUUUAGACGAGAGGCGAGUAAGUG
rnacentral:lncRNA from 1 species